GUAUAUUCUCAAAAAUUUUAUUGAUAGGGCUAUAUGCAAUCAAAAAGUUUGAGGCCACAGUGCUAAAGUAUCAAAGAUGCAAGAUGUUCAUCCUCCUAAAAGCCAAUAGGCAUCACAGAGUCAGCCACAUGAAAGCAAAUGUUUUGGCAAAGUAAAAAUAAAAUAGCAGAAACGGGUGUGUCCUAAUCUUAAAGAUGCUUUACUUUUUUAUCCCAUUUUCUUUGUGCUUUCUUGAAAUUUUUACUUCUUUCUUAAUAAGGUGAGCUUUAUGAAGCUGGAAACACAGAGGAACUCAAUAAGUAUUUUUUAUUUGAUUACCUUUCCAGACCAAAGACUUUUGGUCAUGAAUGACUGAUCGUAGAAUACCGAAAACAUCAGGUGUGAAAUAAAACCUUUCUGUGAAACAAGUGCCAGAAGGAUAUACUUUGCUGCUUUUUUUUUUUUAAUUCAGUGGUCUUUGGAUGUCCACUUGACUCACUCCUAAUCAGUCCCAGAAAAAAAAGAAAGAAAGGCCUUUGGAUUGCUAGUGCUAAGCAACUCAGCUUCUUCCUUUUUUCUUAUUUGAAAUUGUUGGAAAAUAAUACAGAAGACAGAAAACAUCUUGCUCCAAACAUUGAGAAACCUGGGUCUUGCUACAGCUUAAUGAUAAUACUAAUAUCCAUCAGUUGAGUAGCAACAGAUUCAUCUUGAUAUGCUGUUCAUCUUUAGGCCCCUAGAAGAUGGAUUUUUCAGCUUAUGCAAAAGGGUAGGGUUUUCUCUUUUGCUUUCCAGUUGGAGUGAGAGUGGGAGUAUUUCAUUUAAAAAGUCUAGAGACAGAGAUUUUUGGCAUAAUUCUAUGUAUGAAAAGUGUAACUAAUUGGCAAGGGAAAGGCCUGUCUUAUAGAUGCUCUUCUAUGAAGGUAAAGCCAGGAUCCUGGGAAGGAGUGGGAUGGAGAGAGAUAGUCAAGUUUAACCUAAAAAUCUAUAAUUGAAUUUGUGCUGAGUAUCAAUAUUAUUUCCACACUGCACAUCAUUUCAGUGAAAAAUUUUAAUUCUUUAUUUCCUUACUAUAUUACAAAAUUUAUAUACAAUGUUGAUUUAGAUUUCAAGUAGCUUUGCCAUACAUUGGCGGAUCUACAGGCUUAAGUAUAAUAAUUUCCAAAUAACAUUUUUCAUGGGCAAAAUUCAGAUAAAGGGGCAAAUGAAAACUAGAAGCAUGAGAUUGAAAUAAUUUAUGAUAAACUUAUAGUUCAUACUUUAUAGUUUUGUAGGUUUAUAGUUUUCCACAAACCCAUUUGAGCAUAUUUAAGUGAUAAAAAUGUGAAUUAUGCAUAAGAUGCUGUGGUGGUUAUGUAGGGAAAGUAAGUGACAUCUUUUUCUCACCAGUUGAAAAAUUCAUGCCUGACACCCUGUAUUAGUCAGGGUUCUCUAGAGAGACAGAACUAAUGGGACAUAUAUAUAUAUAUAA
rnacentral:lncRNA from 1 species